rnacentral:rRNA from 1 species
GCUAGCUACAGGCUUAACACAUGCAAGUCGAGGGGCAGCAUGGUCUUAGCUUGCUAAGGCCGAUGGCGACCGGCGCACGGGUGAGUAACACGUAUCCAACCUGCCGUCUACUCUUGGACAGCCUUCUGAAAGGAAGAUUAAUACAAGAUGGCAUCAUGAGUCCGCAUGUUCACAUGAUUAAAGGUAUUCCGGUAGACGAUGGGGAUGCGUUCCAUUAGAUAGUAGGCGGGGUAACGGCCCACCUAGUCUUCGAUGGAUAGGGGUUCUGAGAGGAAGGUCCCCCACAUUGGAACUGAGACACGGUCCAAACUCCUACGGGAGGCAGCAGUGAGGAAUAUUGGUCAAUGGGCGAGAGCCUGAACCAGCCAAGUAGCGUGAAGGAUGACUGCCCUAUGGGUUGUAAACUUCUUUUAUAAAGGAAUAAAGUCGGGUAUGGAUACCCGUUUGCAUGUACUUUAUGAAUAAGGAUCGGCUAACUCCGUGCCAGCAGCCGCGGUAAUACGGAGGAUCCGAGCGUUAUCCGGAUUUAUUGGGUUUAAAGGGAGCGUAGAUGGAUAUUUAAGUCAGUUGUGAAAGUUUGCGGCUCAACCGUAAAAUUGCAGUUGAUACUGGAUAUCUUGAGUGCAGUUGAGGCAGGCGGAAUUCGUGGUGUAGCGGUGAAAUGCUUAGAUAUCACGAAGAACUCCGAUUGCGAAGGCAGCCUG